CAUCAAGGCAUGCAGCAGGACUUGCCCCUGAGGCUGCUUCUGGUCCUGGGGCCUGUGCAAGGGUCCAUAGGAACCCUGUCAUACCCUGAGCCUGAGCACUUACAGAGCUACACUGGCUCACCUGGUGACCUCAGGGAGGCCUGAUUGUGAGAAGACAGAGGCAGAGAGAUGACGACAAAGAUGCUGGAUCAAGCUGCACCUGAAACCAUACACCAAAAGGUCACAUGAAACUCCCUUCCCACUAGCACCAGCUCCUCGUUUUUCUUAAAGAAGUAAUUUCCAACUGAAAGCAUCUUAGCCUCUCUAAGUACCAUUAUGGAUUAAGAAGGAUUAGGACUUUCUCCUCCAUCCAUUCACAGGCUUUGAUGUGUGGACCCUGGGACUGGCACUGCUGGCCCUAGGAUAAAUUACAUCCUCAGUUGGGGCCUCAGUCAGAUGAGGGGGCAGACUUAAGACAAAUUCACACUGCCCUGUGCUGAGUUUUCUGGCAAGUUUGAUUAGGGAAGAACUGACUCAGAGAGGGCUUCCCAGAGGAGGUGACAUGUGCCUUGAACUUGAGGGGAGGAUAGCAUUUCGUCCAAGAGAAGAGAGCAUGUGGGCACA
rnacentral:lncRNA from 1 species